rnacentral:rRNA from 1 species
GAUGAACGCUGGCGGCGUGCCUAAUACAUGCAAGUCGAGCGAACAGACGAGGAGCUUGCUCCUCUGACGUUAGCGGCGGACGGGUGAGUAACACGUGGAUAACCUACCUAUAAGACCGGGAUAACUUCGGGAAACCGGAGCUAAUACCGGAUAAUAUAUUGAACCGCAUGGUUCAAUAGUGAAAGACGGUUUUGCUGUCACUUAUAGAUGGAUCCGCGCCGCAUUAGCUAGUUGGUAAGGUAACGGCUUACCAAGGCAACGAUGCGUAGCCGACCUGAGCGGGUGAUCGGCCACACUGGAACUGAGACACGGUCCAGACUCCUACGGGAGGCAGCAGUAGGGAAUCUUCCGCAAUGGGCGAAAGCCUGACGGAGCAACGCCGCGUGAGUGAUGAAGGUCUUCGGAUCGUAAAACUCUGUUAUUAGGGAAGAACAAAUGUGUAAGUAACUAUGCACGUCUUGACGGUACCUAAUCAGAAAGCCACGGCUAACUACGUGCCAGCCGCCGCUGUAA